AUGUACAUAUCACAAUCAACAGUGUUUGUUCCUAACAGUUACAAAUACGGUGAAUUUUUUCUGGACCAUAGGAAUAUUAUUUCAAAGAAAUAUUACAACUUAACCAUUAAAUUAGUACUUGAAGUUGAGCCUUUGUGGUGGAACUUUUUAAAAACAAACAUACAUACAUGCCUUUUUAAAGCAUUAAGGCUAACUGAAGUAUUUCAUGAGUCCUCAUCCCAGGCCCGAGCGGGUUGUCUUGAAGACCCCGUCUCUGCCCCCUACCUUGCUGUGCGUUUCUGUCCGAGGGCAGUGGGUGUGGGCUUGCCUCCCGUGAGCCGCUCUGGUCAGGCUGUAGAGUUCUAGUCAUCUGUAGAGAGAAUCAUGCAGAUUUUAAAAGUUCUUCCAAGAAACUUCCAUAUUCUGGUUAUUAACAAAAAAAAAAGAAAAAUGUAAUAACUGAUGAUUUUGUAAAAGUAUUUUUCUUGAAAUAAUCUAACGUUUAAAACAUUUUAAAAAAUUGUGUGGUGGGAAUGUGAAAGCAGAGAAAUCACUUGUAAAUGGAUAAUUUUGUUCUCUGUACCACCAAUUGAGGGGGAGGGGUUGACUUUCGCAAUGUAUAGGUUAAAAAAAUCUGAUAUAUCAAACCAUUUGUAUCUAAUGUGUACAGUGUAAAAUUGACUUUAAAAAUAUUGCAGUGCUAUUUUUUCUUAAUCAGAAAGGAAAAAUUCUCAAGGCCUUUUGAAGAGCAUAAGAUGAUGAAGAUUGUAAACUUGUAUAAAAUUAUCUUGGUGAGAAGACAAAUUGUAAAGUAGAUAUUUGUAAUCUUUUACCACUUUGGGGUUGCUUUUUUUCCCAGAAUUCAUCAGAACUUUGAAUUUUUUUUUUUUAAUGGGCUGUUUUUAAUGCAGGGGCUUUUCUUCCCUAGAAACCCAAUUCUCAGCAAAAAAAGAAAAAAACACAAAAAACUAAAAAACCCCUACAAAAACUUAAAAAAAAAAAAGGNNNNNNNNNNNNNNNNNNNNNNNNNNNNNNNNNNNNNNNNNNNNNNNNNNNNNNNNNNNNNNNNNNNNNNNNNNNNNNNNNNNNNNNNNNNNNNNNNNNAACCCCUACAAAAACUUAAAAAAAAAAAAGGCAGCAAAGGGUAGUUUUCAUCUGGUGUCUUUUAUUUAAGUUUUUUAAGUUAAGAAAAAGCUAGUGACAUAUUUAUACGUUUUUGUGCAAAAAUAAAUGAAUGGCAAUAGAUUUUAAAAAAAAUCUUAUUAUGUACUUCUGUGUGAAAAAGUCUGUAUAAUAUUUCCCUUAAAUAUGCAUUAUUUUACUUGUGAGUUUUUUACUGAAUUAAUCUGAAAUGUACAAGCCCUGGAUUUGCUACAGAGUGAGAACUUAUUUUAUUUUUUUUUUUAUUUUUAAUUUUGGAAAUUCUGCAGAAAUCAGAACUCUUACCUUGGUUUGAACUAAAGAGGGGACAUGGGGAGGGGAGAAGGGUGGGUUUGUCCAGCAUGCUUGUAUGUAUAUUUCAGAACCUUUUUUAAAUGUAAAAGCUGUACAUUUCUGGGAAGUUCUGAAUUUCUUUUGUUUCCUUUUUCCUUCAAGCAUUUUGCAGUGAGCUUCUUUUAUAUAUAGCAAACAAUUUGAAAGAAUACAAAAAUAUGUGAAGUUCAUUUAAAAAAAACUACAGUAUAGCGCUGGUACAGUACACUAAAAGACUUUGAUAAAAAGAAACAAUACUAAAAAGCCUCCAUUUUAAAUGUCAUUCAUAUAUACCUUGUGAAUGAGAGCUAUAUACUUUUACACACUUUUUUAGAGGAAUAAAUUAUUGAAUUACUGAAACAUUGAGUGGCUUUUUUUCCCCCCUUCCAUCCUGCUUUUGUAAUAAAAAUGAUUACACCUAUUCAAAAGGUGUACUAUGGAUUGAACAGUCGUUGAUCAGGAGCCAGGCUCUACCUUCUAGAGUAAAGUUUUACUCCCCUGACCACGACAUCUAAUAGCUGUUACAGGUUUCACUUACUCCAAGAUACAGGUGCAUUCAUGGAUCAAGGUUUGAAUGAACACACAUACACAGCAUUGGAGUUGGAGCUCUGGUGUUUUUCCUUAGGGUUGAGUAGAUCGCAUCUAACAGUGAUCUACUGUCUUCCAGCUCUUGAGACUGCAGUCAGGCUUAGACUACAAGUCUGUUUUCUGCUCCUCUCUCUUCAUGGGCUCAGCCAGUUUCCUUUUAUUGUUCCUUAGAAACAAUAGUUCCAACUCUACUGUUUUCCCAACACACAAAUGAACAAGACACUCACCGACUGCAUAUCCCCACUGCCUGUGCUCUCCUUGGAUCCUUUCCGUAGGAGAAACCAUCACCGGGGCAGAAGCUCUCGCUGAGAUAGUUAACACCAGGACUUGGCAGAGCCUACUGUCAAAAUCUGAGUAAGCUGAGAGACCUUCCUUCAAUCUUCCUCCAGCUCGCUGGCAAUAUACAUUGUUCUAACUCUGAACCUUUAGAUACAACUGUUGACACUAUUCAGCCUCAGUUAUUUCCUCUGCAGUUGAGUUGAGGGCAGUUCCAUCUCAGCUGAAAAGCUGUGUCCAUGUUACUAUAGUUGUACUAUUGAAGAAGGCUGAGAAAAGUGAGACCACUUCGGUUAACAGAUAAUGUUGAUAUCUCUCUUGUCCAGUUACCACCGCUUUAUACCUAGUUCCCAGCCCUCUUGGACACGCCCCUGGCCAAAAAGCAUUAAACAACUGCACACUUCCUAGAUUCUAUGCAUUCGGGUCAGUCCAACUGUUCCUGUGUCCCUGUAAAAAUCAGAAACAGGUGGUAGUUUUCCAACCAACUCAUUUUCUUGGGUUCUGUGCUCAUACAUCUAGUGGCACUUAAUCCAACAACCAAUGAACGUUGGCUUUAUUUAUACUAGGAACUUUGUUUUCAUGACGUUAUUACCCAUAUCAACAUCAACAGGAGUGAAAUCUCUGAGAUAGAAAAAACUGUCAAAUUCAUUCAUUUUGCAGAUUCCAUGUAGCUAAGUCUGACCUGCCACUCCAGCCAUCGGCCUCCAGGCAUUCGCUCUGCUCAGAUUCUGCUUAAACCAGUUCAUUCCCCCUAAACCGUGCCAUCCAGUAGUUUUACGUCCUGGCCCCUGUUCUGGGGCCGGGAAUUUGUUCCCAAUUGGUAUCAAAGAGCUCAUGAAAAAUCUUUAUAAAAAAGUGCAGUUUGUCAGUAGUUCUUAAAGACAGACUUGUCACGAGACCUGGUGUCUGAGUGUGAGACACACACUGGAAACAGAUUUUGUUCCUUGUCAUCUAUACAGCACCAGCUAUUCUAUAAAGAUUUGUUUCCCUUUUGAAUUUACCACUUGCUACAGUCCUAAUAAGAUGCAAUUUGCAUGUAUUACAUUAUCUUGGUGUUAAGUGAUUAGUUUGUUUAUAUCCCCUUGACAAAAAGGUCACUCUACCAGGAAUUAGUUCAUGUCAUUAAUACCUAAUGAGACACCAUUAGAAAAUUCUGUUAUGGCAGGUAAUUACAGGGUUGCAACAGUUGCCCUGGGCAUCUUACUCUGCUUGGAACCAGAUUUACCAAGUCCCACCACUUCCCUUGAAAUUCUCAGGUCAACUUUAAAAAAGAUUUUUUUUGGGGGGGCACUUAACGGCUUCUAGUUAGAACAAAGUAAUAAAGCAGGUAAGAAAUAAAAGUUGAGGAAGCAAAGCUUGGCAAGACCGAAGUAUUGAUUUUUCUCUGUAAAGGUUAUUUUCCUCAAUGAACGUUAGUUACCAGGGAGGAUGCAGAUGCAGACAGACACUGGGCCAGUCUCACUUUUUUCUCUUUAAGGCACGCAGGGAG
rnacentral:lncRNA from 1 species